GGAACAGUUGAGUGAUUUUCUGGUGCUGGGUUUGUUGAGGCUGCUGUUGCGGAAGCGAUUGCUAGGAUUAGGUCAAGAGACAGUCAUAAUCGACAGCUCUGAUACCAUAUCAGAUUGGGUAAAAAAUAAUAUUUCAUUCAUUUGAUAUAUAACAAUAGGAAGGUUAUAUAUACAGAGCCUAGGAAACUAUUUUAGGAAAGUAAUUAUGUUCCUAUAAUCUUGCAUAAUCAAAUAGUUGACUUAGACUAAUUAGGAAUGUACAGCUCAUUGACAUCUUCGAUGCUUUUUCUUACUCG
rnacentral:lncRNA from 1 species